rnacentral:rRNA from 1 species
CCUACGGGGGGCAGCAGUGGGGAAUAUUGGACAAUGGGGGGAACCCUGAUCCAGCCAUGCCGCGUGUGUGAAGAAGGCCCUCGGGUUGUAAAGCACUUUCAGUGAGGAAGAACGCCUGGUGGUUAAUACCCAUCAGGAAAGACAUCACUCACAGAAGAAGCACCGGCUAACUCCGUGCCAGCAGCCGCGGUAAUACGGAGGGUGCGAGCGUUAAUCGGAAUUACUGGGCGUAAAGCGCGCGUAGGUGGCUUGAUAAGCCGGUUGUGAAAGCCCCGGGCUCAACCUGGGAUCGGCAUCCGGAACUGUCAAGCUAGAGUGCAGGAGAGGAAGGUAGAAUUCCCGGUGUAGCGGUGAAAUGCGUAGAGAUCGGGAGGAAUACCAGUGGCGAAGGCGGCCUUCUGGACUGACACUGACACUGAGGUGCGAAAGCGUGGGUAGCAAACAGGAUUAGAUACCCUUGUAGUC